rnacentral:rRNA from 1 species
GACGUUAGCUGCAGAAGAAGCACCGGCUAACUCCGUGCCAGCAGCCGCGGUAAUACGGAGGGUGCGAGCGUUAAUCGGAAUUACUGGGCGUAAAGCGCAUGCAGGUGGUUUGUUAAGUCAGAUGUGAAAGCCCGGGGCUCAACCUCGGAAUUGCAUUUGAAACUGGCAGACUAGAGUACUGUAGAGGGGGGUAGAAUUUCAGGUGUAGCGGUGAAAUGCGUAGAGAUCUGAAGGAAUACCGGUGGCGAAGGCGGCCCCCUGGACAGAUACUGACACUCAGAUGCGAAAGCGUGGGGAGCAAACAGGAUUAGAUACCCUGGUAGUCCACGCCGUAAACGAUGUCUACUUGGAGGUUGUGGCCUUGAGCCGUGGCUUUCGGAGCUAACGCGUUAAGUAGACCGCCUGGGGAGUACGGUCGCAAGAUUAAAACUCAAAUGAAUUGACGGGGGCCCGCACAAGCGGUGGAGCAUGUGGUUUAAUUCGAUGCAACGCGAAGAACCUUACCUACUCUUGACAUCCAGAGAACUUUCCAGAGAUGGAUUGGUGCCUUCGGGAACUCUGAGACAGGUGCUGCAUGGCUGUCGUCAGCUCGUGUUGUGAAAUGUUGGGUUAAGUCCCGCAACGAGCGCAACCCUUAUCCUUGUUUGCCAGCGAGUAAUGUCGGGAACUCCAGGGAGACUGCCGGUGAUAAACCGGAGGAAGGUGGGGACGACGUCAAGUCAUCAUGGCCCUUACGAGUAGGGCUACACACGUGCUACAAUGGCGCAUACAGAGGGCGGCCAACUUGCGAAAGUGAGCGAAUCCCAAAAAGUGCGUCGUAGUCCGGAUCGGAGUCUGCAACUCGACUCCGUGAAGUCGGAAUCGCUAGUAAUCGUGGAUCAGAAUGCCACGGUGAAUACGUUCCCGGGCCUUGUACACACCGCCCGUCACACCAUGGGAGUGGGCUGCAAAAGAAGUGGGUAGUUUAACCUUCGGGAGGACGCUCACCACUUUGUGGUUCAUGACUGGGGUGAAGUCGUAACAAGGUAGCCCUAGGGGAACCUGGGGCUG